rnacentral:rRNA from 1 species
GAUGAACGCUAGCGGCAGGCCUAACACAUGCAAGUCGAGGGGCAGCACAGAAACAGCAAUGUUUUGGUGGCGACCGGCGGACGGGUGCGUAACGCGUAUGCAACCUACCUUUAACAGGGGGAUAACGGAGAGAAAUUUCCACUAAUACCCCAUAACAUCGAUCAAGGCAUCUUGAUUGGUUGAAAACUCCGGUGGUUAAGAUUGGCAUGCGUUGUAUUAGGUAGUUGGUGAGGUAAUGGCUCACCAAGCCUACGAUACAUAGGGGGACUGAGAGGUUAGCCCCCCACACUGGUACUGAGACACGGACCAGACUCCUACGGGAGGCAGCAGUGAGGAAUAUUGGUCAAUGGGGGCAACCCUGAACCAGCCAUGCCGCGUGCAGGAAGACGGCUCUAUGAGUUGUAAACUGCUUUUAAACAGGGAUAAAGCACAGUAUGUAUACUGUGUUGAAGGUACUGUAAGAAUAAGGAUCGGCUAACUUCGUGCCAGCCGCCGCAGUAA